UCCUACGCCACAGUCAACCAAUCUCAACCAUUGACAUCCUCAUCUCCAUUCAAUCUAAACCGUCCGAUCAUUCUAACACCUUUAUAAAAUGAUCUUUCAUUUCCUCAUCAACUUGCAUCCCAUUUUCAUUUUCUUCCACAACGGAAUUUCCUUUUUCUUCAGAUCUGUUCACUGUCAUUUCUGUGCUGCUCAAUCGGUAUGUAUAUCUGUGUAGAUCGUUCUCCGAUCUACAGUUUGAUUAUAAUUUUGAUAUGUAUUAGGUCAUCCAGACCCAGGUGCUUAUAAUAAAUUCUUGUGGUCCGGCCCUUUUCCAACGACUUUUUGCAUAGCAAGAGCUUUACUGCAUCAUCAGAUGUAGUGAAGUGGGGAGAAGGAAGAGGUUUUGCGUUGUUCAAUUUGCCGUUCCCACUAUUAUUGUUUGCCUUAUUCCAAUCUACAGUUUUGAGUGUGGUUUUGAUAUGUAUCAGAUCAGCCGGAUGGUUUGUUGCAAGGCACCGAAGCGCGGAGAAGGAAGAGCUUUUGCGUGUUCAAUUUGCCAUUUAUAUAUAGGAAAAGCUGAUGCUUUUGGUAUGAAGUGGUUGUGAAUUUAGAUUUGAUUUGAUUCUUUGUUGAGUAUGAAUGCUUUGGCUAUAUGAAGUAUUGCUCGAUACGAUGGAUUUGAUGUGAGAUUUACUACUGUGUACAAGGUAAUUAUCAAUCUGUUUGUGUAGAGCUCGAUGGCUACUGGAUAUAUCACCGGUGCUCUAUUUUUGCUUGAUUAUUGGUGAUGGUAAUCUGCAAGUUUGAGGUUGCUAGACAAGGUUCAUAGUUUAAUUUUUUGUCUAUUAUCAGCUUCAUUAUUGCUAUGUUAAUUAGUUUGUUCUUGAUAUGCAUGCAUAUGUACGAGUUAGUUUAGUUAUUAUAGAGGAAAGAAAAGAGAGAAAUUGUGAGGUUCUUUGUUGUUUGCCGACCUUUGCCAUGUCGGGUGCGCUCGCAUGGCAGGUCACAGUACCUAAUAAAAAUUCAUUUUUUGUGUUUGGAGGGGAGAUGGUACGGGGUUUUUUCGCCCGGCUUUCCUUUCCAGUGUCUCGUCUUUGCCCUUGCCUUUGCCUUCCCUUGUUCCCUAGAAUUUCUCGCAAGAUCUUUCCGGCUAACGCUCAUCUAUUUUGGCGCGGUUAUUGAGCCCCUCUUUGAAUGAUUAUCUGCGAAGUUAAAGCCACACUUUCCUAUGCAAUGGUAAGCAAGUUAUGUUACACAUUUAUUAAAUACAACUUCUUAAUUAUCGAGCACAGAUAAUUAUCUUAAUUGUCGAGCACAGAUAGCAGUAAUGGUUACUACAUCUAGUAAUUAAUCCCAAUUGAGUUUGAAUGAGCUGUAGUGAUUUCUUUAUCAACAAAAAGUAGGUGGCCAUGGAAGUGAAAAUUUUUUGGAGUUGGAAUUGGAUUUAGAAUUGAAGCUGUAGUUUGGAGUUGUGUUUGGCCAUGAAUAUAAAUUGAAGUUAUUUUUGACUUUUUGUGAAGAAGUAAAAGUGAAAACAAGUUUAAUGCGAUUGUAUUUGUAAUUCUUUAUGGCCAAACACUACAAUUUUCUCUAAAUUGAAAUAAUUUUUCGGAAAAAAGUGAAUUCACAUGGCUAAACAUUCCCAAAGUAUCCUAUGUUGAAUGAUUGAACAAUCUUUUAACACAAUUGUAUUUGUAAUUCUUUAUGGCCAAACACUACAAUUUUCUCUAAAUUGAAAUAAUUUUUCGGAAAAAGUGAAUUCCACAUGGCUAAACGUUCCCAAAGUAUCCUAUGCUGAAUGAUUGAACAAUCUUUUAACAAAGUGAAAAUACAUGUUUUCCACAUGAACUAAUAAGCGACUCACAUGUUAAGCUUAAUGAUGUUUUGAGAGAGAACUAGUUUUAGGUUUUGGAAUUUUGGCCAUUUUAAAAGAACUUGGCUUUGAGAAUCUGAUUCCCCGCUUUGAAACAUUGGGUCAUUAACUUCCUAACCAAUAAUAUUAAUCGGUAAUUCUUGAAAGAUCAUAGAUUGCUAAUUUGAUGAAUCAUCCAUAUCAAUUUCUUGUCUUUGUUCAGCAGCAUUCAAAACAUUCUAUUAUUUGGUCUUCCUAUGAGAUAUGUAUCAAUGUAUUUUGGACUGGCUUUACUAAAUGUGAUGGGCGGUCCUUGUAUAUACUAUCAUUGUGGGACUUUCAAUACCUAGUAUAUGUUUGUAAAGGUAGUGGGGGCUAUCUUUGCAUUUUCCUCUUGUUGAUGUAAUUUAAUGGUGGAUUUCAAUGGAGUCGCUUGAAGAUCAUGGAGUGCGGUGAAUGUGUUCGUGGGGUUUCUUCCAGUAUUCAGAUUAGGGUUGUUCGAGAUUCCUUUCUAUAUUGGCAGCUGGUUGGUUCCCUCUACAUCCCCAAGACUAAGCUUUUUCCUCGCUCGAAGUUAGUGUCUUCAACUAACUCAGAUUUUGCUGAAGUCAUCAACUAAGUUGGAUGUAUGGAGUUGUUCUACUGCUGAGUCAAUCAAAUGUUAUAUUGAAUUUCCGGAUUCUUUUCCCAGCUGUUAUCUUGAAGUUCUUGUGUGCUAUCUUUCUUCACUUGGAAUAUACAGUGAGCAAAUCCAAUUGUCAGCUGUGUUUGCGGAUGACUGGUGGAUUAGCUGCUGCUCUUAUAUUGUGGUAUUUAUUUGUUUGGAAACUCGUAGCAACACUUCUUAGCAAUUCUGGUUGGGUUGUUGAAGCUGUUCCUAGAUUGUUCGGGGCAUAAUUGAUCUACUGCUGCUGUCCAUAGCUGCAUGCCAGCUUAACAAAAAGUCUCCUAUUUUAAAGGGGUCUUUGAACUACAUCAUGUCUUGUUAUAUUGUCUAUUGUUUUAGAAGCUGAACUUGACGUUCUUUAAAAAUGAUGGUUAUAGUUCAUUAUCAGACCUAAUUUUGAGAUGUUACCACUGUGUAGGCAGAAUAGUGAGGAUACUUGCUAUCUUGUGCUAAGUAGAUUGCGCAGGAGUGUUUAAAUGUUCGCUGAAGAUUUACUACAAGGAAAUAGUCUUCUUUGAUACCUGUGUUGACUUGCUCAAGAAUGUCAAUUCAUCUUCACUGAAGUUUUGUUACAAGGAUAUUUUGUCAUGUUGAUACAUGUGAAUAUUUGAUCGUCCGUUGAGGUAACAUGUCUUUAAUGUUCCCACUGUUAGAUUGCUAUGCUGGACUGGUUAUUUAUCAAAUUCCAUCGCUUGUUGUAAUGCAUUUCUGGGGCUAUUUUUCUGAAGAUGUUUAUUUAGUACUGAGGCCGGAAAUUUAUUAAAUUCUUCAUUUUUGGAA